UUUCUACUUCUUCUGUGAAAAGUGAGGAUUUUCUGUUGCAGAUGAGUGUCUGAAAGAGACAUCAAACCUGUGAAUAUUGCCAUCAGAUGCAUGAGAAAAAUAGAAGUGGAUGUGCAAGUUGAUGCAGAGUCAUGACAAUUGUGGCUUUUUUUCUUCUGGAUUCAGAGAGUCCAUAAAGACUACCAAAGUGGCUUUUACGGGCUUAAUUUAAAAGCUGAGAAAAAUAAAGAACAAAACCAGAAGAAGCAGAUAUAAUCUUACAGCCCUUAGUUUUGCCAGAGAAUCCUUUCCCUUCUUUGGCAGGCAAUGGGUCCUAACCCCUCACAGACAAUGAGUGCAGCAUCUGGUGUGAAUAGAAAGGUCUGCCCCGAUGUUUUCAUUAGACUUAGGUGGGCUUAAGUGUUAUCUACUGUGUGGUAGUGCUGACAACAUCAUAUAUUUGGGGUCAAAUUAACAUACCUUGACCCUGUUUACAUCUGGGCAGGUCAGCAGAGUAGUCAUAAAAAGAGGCCAACUACAAAGAGCUGUGAAUGAUGAGAUGUUCCCAUAUUGGUCUACAGAACACUUAAAGUGCUGAGUCGGUGUCUUGGGAUUCAGGUUGGUACCCAGGUGACCCUAUCUUUAGGGGACACAUGUCCCCAUGUCUACCACACCAUCUGUCAAGUGACCUUUUCAUAAUCCGUCUUGAUUCUAACUUACUGUGAUUAACUUUUACAGAACUCUAGCCUACAAAGCUGCAAAAUCAUAACUACAAGCAAGUCCAGAACUGUUCUUUGAGCACCUUAGAGGGCAUCAAAAAGGGUAACUGCUGGGUACCACUUCUAACUAUUACUAACUUUAAUAGUCCUAGUCCAGGACUAUUCGAGUGGGCAUUAAAUGUACAGUGUGGGUAUGACCGUUGGAGUUCUUUAUGGUGCUGCUUUCUGGGGAUCUGCCAAAGAUUGAUCAGUAAAUGAUAGGAAGGAAAAUGGACAGGAACCUCAGGAGACACUGCUUACAGAAGGCAAAAAAAUAAAUAAAAAUGCACCUAAGUUAAGGAUAAUUGCAGCAUUGUCAGGGAAAGCCGG